GUCUGACAGCAAAGUUAAGGAGAUUGUGAUUUCCAAGUCGUACAGCCGUCUACCUUUCGCUUUUUUCAGAUGAAGCAUGACUUGCUGCAAAUGGAACAUCCUGCUCGAAUGAAACCCAAAGGAUUUUGACAAGACUCAACAAUUAUUUGGGAAGUGAAAAGUUCCGAAGGUCUCUCUGCUCAAGUUGAGAAGGGAAAGUUGUUGAAUAUUUAAUUAAGUGGUAUCUAUUCUCAUGUUGGAUUGAUCAUCAUGACUAUGGAUCUAAUAGCUUGUAUGGUUCACUUUGGACUAGGCACGCACAACUUUAAAACGUGUCACAAGGGUCUAAAGGGUCGCUUCUUUAUACCCCAGUGUCAAAUCCCUUUGGGUUUUUUUUGUAUGUUUUCUUCUUUAUAUGUUAACUCCCAUUUAGAAAAAUUAUGGCUCCGCCAUUUCCCUCAUGUAGAUUUGUUCUAUCUCAUUCUUAUGGGUUUACAACAUAAAAACAAUACCUCUAAACUAAUUCAGAGCAAGAUCAGCCCACACACGGGGACUAUCGCCUAUCGAAUACCAAAACAUUUAAAAUGUAUACCAAAUGCUAUAAUAUCAAAAAAUUCGAUAUGAUAAUUCUAUAUCCACCGUACCCCUAUUUCAUUUUAAAACAAGAGUCCAUUGACAUGGACAAGUAAAAGGAACAAUUUUAUCCUUUGCUUCCUUCAUUAUUUCAAUUACUAAUACAACCACCAGAACACCAAGUAAAUACCAAGAGACACUGAAAGAAAUAGUCUUAUUUCAAAACUUGUUUGAGACUGGGGCAUAGUUAUUGUUAUAUCUAGAACUCGGUGACUAAUGUACGAUCAAAGCAGAAAUCAGUAGGUCUUCCAUCAGGUAAAAGAGCUAGCAUGACAGAUCCUUCAGCUCCUUCCUCAACAGGCAUUAUUGUUCCUCUAUGCCAGGAUAUAUCCGUGUUGACGAAUCCAGGAUGGACACAAUUGUGCACAUUUUUGGGUACUUAUGCAAGAACUCUGGUGUAAGCUUUAAGUGAUAGUUUUGAUAUGCUAUAUAGACUGGUCCAAUCAUCUUCCAACCGUUCACCUCGAGAGCAUCUUGUUUCAGAAACAACGCGAAUGACAGUCUUACUUACAUUUAAAGCACCUCUACGGGAAGAGACAUUAACAAUUCUUGGUGAAGGAGAAUUUUGCAGCAAUGGAAAAAGAGCUUCGGUAACAUUCUUAACACCAUAGUAAUUAGUGUCCAAGCAGGUGCAAAUAUCUUCUCAAGAACUCAAGCAUAAAAGAACACAUACAACAAGGGACCUGAAAGACUGAAGAAGAGCAAUCUUUAUGUGUUGGUGUUGUUGAAUGCUUGUAUUGUGCUAAUUGUAGGAUAUGUUUCACAUUCAUAAAGAAACGUUUCAAACCUUUGUGUGUAUUGAGUGUAAGAACAUUGUUAGAGUUAACUUUGUGUCUUAUGUAUUGAAGUCUAUAUUAAUUAGAGAUAGUUAAUAUAGUGGGCAAUGGAAGCAUUGUUUUGGCUCAGUAAGUAAUAGAGGUAUUACUUAGAGUGAGAUCAAGAAUUUAGUCUCAUUGAAAUUUGUAUUUACUUUUGCUUGUGAUUAGUGAAAGCAGUUAAAAUACUGGUACUACAUCACACUGGUGGAUGCAUACAUUCCAUC